GGGAGUGGAUGGGUCCCGGUGGGUCUCGCGGUCUUCAAAACCGUUGCGGGGCGGCCUGCGUCGUCCCGGGAGGGUUCGACUCCCUCGCACUCCCGCCA
rnacentral:tRNA from 1 species